rnacentral:snRNA from 1 species
AGCUUUGCGCAGUGGCGAUAUCGUUACCUCGGAUAAACCAUCCGAGGUACAAUCAUUGCUAGUUGAAAACUUUAACCAAUGAU